rnacentral:rRNA from 1 species
GACGAACGCUGGCGGCGUGCCUAAUACAUGCAAGUAGAACGCUGAAGGAGGAGCUUGCUUCUCCGGAUGAGUUGCGAACGGGUGAGUAACGCGUAGGUAACCUGCCUGGUAGCGGGGGAUAACUAUUGGAAACGAUAGCUAAUACCGCAUAACAGUAGAUGUUGCAUGACAUUUGCUUAAAAGGUGCAAUUGCAUCACUACCAGAUGGACCUGCGUUGUAUUAGCUAGUUGGUGAGGUAACGGCUCACCAAGGCGACGAUACAUAGCCGACCUGAGAGGGUGAUCGGCCACACUGGGACUGAGACACGGCCCAGACUCCUACGGGAGGCAGCAGUAGGGAAUCUUCGGCAAUAGACGGAAGCCUGACCGAGCAACGCCGCGUGAGUGAAGAAGGUUUUCGGAUCGUAAAGCUCUGUUGUAAGAGAAGAACGAGUGUGAGAGUGGAAAGUUCACACUGUGACGGUAUCUUACCAGAAAGGGACGGCUAACUACGUG